CACGUAUUUGUAUAAUAUAUUAUGUACAAUUCAUGACAGCUCCCACCUGCUAUGCAUGGCAUAUAUAUUAUUCUUAUUCCUGCAAAGAUUUCAAAGUCUUCUUCUUUAACGUUUGAGUCUUUUCACUAGAAACUCAACGGAAAAUAAAAUAACAAACCAAAGACUUCAGGAGUUAUUUCGGAUUAUAGACACGAACUUAAGAAAUUAAAUAAUUUGCCAUUUUAUUUCCUAAAUACAUAAUUUGUAUCCCAAGAAAGGGUGGACCUAUGACACUACUAUUUUCACCCAAUUAUGGACACAAGUUUUUGUGGGGCACACUCCGUAAUGUAUUUUAACAAUCCGAACUGUUUAUCUUUUAGAUCAUUUAUAAAUUAUUUUUACAAAAAACUAAACAAGUCCAAAACCAUUAAGACAUUCAUUUCUAACUUGAUGAUAAAGAUAAUGGUACUUAUCGGGAGAAAAGGUUAUAGCUCAAAUCAAGAAUCUCAAUGCGACUCAAGAACAAGAACAUGCCAGCUUCAAGAGAACCAAAAAGCAGAUUGUGGGAGAGAUUGAAGUGUGAUAGGAUUUUUACCACAUGCAAAAGUAAUGAUAAAAACAUUUAAAAAUAGGAAAACUAAUUAAAAUGGCUUGAAAACUUUGAGUUUUAACGACAAGGACAAAAUAAAGAGUAAAGUGAAUAGUACUAGGAUUGACUUUUUAGUGUAAAAAUGUGGUUUUUCGUUAAAGUGAACAGUACCGCGAGCUUUUCUUUAAAACUCCCUUUAAAAAUACUUACAAGAGAACAAGGUGGUUGUAGUAAAAACACUCAAGUAAGGUUGUUCUCUACAAUGAUUGAUAUAAAUAGUUUGUAUUUAAACUAAUUCUUAAUUAAUUAUUUAAACAAGUUUUGGAAAAUAUUUGAAAUUGUGAAUUAAACUAAACAAACAGAAAAUAAAUAAUUGAAAUUGAUUUUUAAAUGAAAACUGGCAGCAACGAUAAAAUAAAAUAAAAUAGUUUUUGAAAAAAAUUAAAGGUAAAAGGCACUAGGGUUUAGCUAUCACCAUUAACAAUCCUAUGCAAUUCGAUCUACCAAUUAUUUAUGUAUUACACAUACAACUUUGAAGGUUAGGUUUUCCUAAUGCAUAUUCUCCUCAUGAUGUUCAAGUAAGAACAUAUGUCUAACAUGCAACCCGUCUGUGAUAUUCAAAUCAAACAUAAACAUGUAAGAUCAUUAAACUUUAUAAAAACCUUUUGAAAAACUAUGCAACCUGUAAGAGUGUGAUGUCGCCUUAAGUGAAAUUACAAUUAUCAAUCACAAAAAGCCCUAAGCAAUUUCAGGGUGAUGUUCCAACAUAAAUUACAUCAAAUUACUUGUCUAGAUAUCAUAAUGGUAACUAAGCAUUAAAACAUAUGGAUAGUUUUAACAUGGUGAUUAAUAAUUCUAAGUAUACAUGCAUAACAUCAUAAGCAAUUUAAUAAAGACUAUAUAUUCAUUUUCAAAAUAUAAAAAAUAAAGACUAUAUAUUCAUUCUAAGGCUUGUGUGCUCGCCCUUGCAAAAGAAAAUUUGUUAUGCAUAAAUAAUCAUAAGUGCAAAGAAAAUAUUAUUAAGAACAAAAGGAUUGAAAAGACCUAGUAUAGAAGUCUGCAAAUCUCAAAAGCAAAAGAAUAACUUUAAAUUACAAUCCUAAACUAACUAGGCAAUUUGCCCAUCCAAUUAUUCUCCACGUUUCUGGAUCAUUCCAGCUCCAAAUCAAGCCCAUAAAAGUCUUGUCUUAAAUAUCGGGACUUUCUCUACGACUUUGUAGAAGGGCUUAACCACAUAAAACAUCAUCUUCAUGCUCAAAAAUUACAAUUAAGCCUGAAAUGUCAAUCUGUCAGCACUGCACGCUGAGUCUUAAUUAAUUCAUCACGUUCAAAUGCCUUAGAAUAAAUUGAAAAGUUGACACAACCUUCUUAAUAGAUUCACGAACCAACUCCAAUUGAAAUUACUCUUUAUGCCCAAAUGGAUUUGCAUAUCCUAUCUUUACAAUAUAAAAUAAAGCAUCAAAAUCUCAUAAUCACCAAUACAUACCAAGAAUAAGGUAAAAUAUAUAAUAUGAAAUCGACUCAUCCAUGCGGAAAAGAAGCUUAAGGUUUCAAAGUGAUGAAGGGAAAAUACCUCCUCUGAGGCACUUGGAUGGCAACCGCAAUCGGAUGAUCCAACCGUUCUGAUUACAUGUGAUGCCUUCCCAUAGGCAACAAUCAACCGAAGCAGUAGUCCAAUUCAAUGCAGGGGAAAACAGAGUGUAGUGAUGGUGUUACGUUCGAUUAGGCCAUCUCCAACCGACCCGGCCAAAGGGCUAUAAGGCUAAAAUUAGCUUGAAAUGACACGAAAACUGUCUCCAAUCAAGGGCUAGGCCAAAGGGCUUGUGGGCCCCACUAAGCCAAAAAUGGGAAAUCAAGCUAACC
rnacentral:lncRNA from 1 species